UACGAAGGGGGCUAGCGUUGUUCGGAAUUACUGGGCGUAAAGCGCACGUAGGCGGGGCGUUAAGUCAGGGGUGAAAUCCCGGAGCUCAACUCCGGAACUGCCUUUGAUACUGGCGAUCUUGAGAUCGGAAGAGGUGAGUGGAAUUCCCAGUGUAGAGGUGAAAUUCGUAGAUAUUGGGAAGAACACCAGUGGCGAAGGCGGCUCACUGGUCCGAUACUGACGCUGAGGUGCGAAAGCGUGGGGAGCAAACAGG
rnacentral:rRNA from 1 species